rnacentral:tRNA from 1 species
UUUUACAUAGCUUAUAGAAUUAGAGUAUAUCAGUGAAGUUGAUAGUGAAACUUAAUGUUUGUAGAAA